GGACCCCACUGCUAUCGGGGUGGGACUAAGCCAUGCGAGUCGAACGCCCCGGGCAAAGGCGGGGCGUGGCGUACGGCUCAGUAAAACAUGGCCAACCUGCCCUCGGGACGGGGAUAACCUCGGGAAACUGAGGCUAAUCCCCGAUGGGCAAGGGCUCCUGGAAUUGGGCCCUUGCCGAAAGGGCGUCGAAACCACGCCUUUCGACGCCGCCCGAGGAUGGGGCCAUGUCCGAUCAGGUUGUUGGCUGGGUAACGGCCAUCCAAGCCUAUAACCGGUACGGGCCGUGAGAGCGGGAGCCCGGAGAUGGGCCCUGAGACAAGGGCCCAGGCCCUACGGGGCGCAGCAGGCGCGAAACCUCCGCAAUGCGGGAAACCGCGACGGGGUCACCCCGAGUGCCACCCGCGGAGGGUGGCUUUUCCCCGGUUUAACAAGCCGGGGGAAUAAGGGGAGGGCAAGCCUGGUGUCAGCCGCCGCGGUAAUACCAGCUCCCCGAGUGGUGGGGACGGUUAUUGGGCCUAAAGCGUCCGUAGCCGGCCCGAUAAGUCCCUCGUCAAAUCCGGCGGCCCAACCGCCGGGCCGCGGGGGAUACUGUCGGGCUAGGGGGCGGGAGAGGCCGGCGGUACUUCCGGGGUAGGGGUGAAAUCCUAUAAUCCCGGGAGGACCACCAGUGGCGAAGGCGGCCGGCCAGAACGCGCCCGACGGUGAGGGACGAAAGCUGGGGGAGCGAACCGGAUUAGAUACCCGGGUAGUCCCAGCUGUAAACGAUGCGGGCUAGGUGUCGGGACGGCCUUGAGUCGUCCCGGUGCCGCAGGGAAGCCGUUAAGCCCGCCGCCUGGGGAGUACGGCCGCAAGGCUGAAACUUAA
rnacentral:rRNA from 1 species